AAUAAAAUCAUGUUACAAAAUUGAAAACAUGUUUUCCAUGUUUUAUUACUCAGCUUAAAAAUUUCAAGGUCAGUUCAAAUCCCCCUCCAUCUGGACUCUCUUCUCCACCACGCCAGAGGUCGCCUCCGGCGGUGGCAGAUACCUAAUCUCUGAAACAACCAUAUUAUCUUCUUCAUCUCUUUAUCCCGGGUCCAAAUCUCCUAAUGCAAUCUCCUAAUUCUUCCUAAAUCAUUCAGAUCGUGACUGAAAUCACAUGAACCCUAGGUCUUAGAAGUGAAAUUAAAUCCUUAGUCUCUGGAAUCAUAUCCCUAGAGGUUAGGGAUUUGAUUCCCCUAACCAGCCUCUAUAUCACGGUAACUAACAUGGAUCAAAUGAUGAAGAAAUGUAAGGCAUUCACCGGAGAAGACGCCAGAACUCAAGACUUUGUUGGAUGCAACGCAAUGCCUUCAAUGACUUGAUGCUAUUAGGGCUUUGGCUAUGAAUGUUUGAUUACUUGCAAGAUUGAUGCAUUGCUAAUGGUUAUGGACUGCUGCCGUUGUGUAUGGUUAAUGCUAGUUUGCUGACUGUUAUGGUUAUUGUAUGAAGUGAAUGUUUGGGUUAGUGUAUGAUUGCCAUGAUGAAUGAAUUGCUUGCCUUGCUAUGUCAUGAAGAAUGUUGAGAUAUGGCAUUGUGUUGUAUGCUACUGACCUGCUGCAUUAUCAUUGCUGAAUGUUUGAUGCAAGAUUUUGUUUGGUUUGCUAAUGGUUAUAUAUGGUUUGAUGUACAUGAUGCUUUUGCUUGAAAUGAUGAAUGGCUAUGUUAGGACAUGCUUGGUCUUAUUUUGUUUUGUUUGGAUGUAUGGUGCACAUGCUUUGGUUAUGAGUGGAAAUGCUUGAAAUAUGGUGUGUAUAUGUGUGAUUGUUGUAGUGGUCAUGUCAUGUUGCUAAUGCAUUAUGCUAGACUUGAAAUGCUAGAGCUGGUUUUGGCAAUGGUGUGUUGAGACAUGGCACAUGAAAUGCAUAUGCUAUGGUUGAAAUGUUUGAAAAUGACAUAUUGGUUUCGGUAUUUGUUUCGUAGGAAAUGGAUGAAUGCAAGUAUGAUUGGUCUUGAAAAAAUAAGAGAAUUACGGUUUAAGGGUUGUAGAAAUGGUGAGUUGAUUUUGGUCAACUGUUUGACCAAAAAGUCAACAGUUGCCAAAAUUCAACUUUAUGCAAAAAUGUAUUUUUUGUAAUUUUCUCAUGAAUAUGUAUGGACAAUGUAAAAGUGAUUCUUAUGAAUGAAAUAUAUCUUCUUUGGUAAAAAUGUUCUAAUGAAACAAUGCAAAAAAUUUGAAUUCAAAUGGCCAUUUUUCAAGUUCAAUAUGAAAUCAAUUGAAAUAAGUAAUUUGAAUACACUCUAAAACAUGUUAGAAUGAAUGAAAUGGAAACCAAUGGACCAUGGAAUGACUUGAACAAAUGGACAAUGAACUUGAAUCAAUGGGACUUUAAAUCAAAGCAUGAAUGAAUCUUGACACACCACAAAAACCAUGAGUGAAAUAUGAAUGCAAUAAAACUUGGAUAAAAUGAGACCCUGAGACCAUGAAGUCAAUGAAUGGAAUGUGAAUGAAAUGCAUACCUUGGAUCAAACAUAUAACACCAUGAACUAGGGUUUAGCUAGGUCAAAAUCAAGAAUUAGGGUUUGGUAUAGAUGAAACACCAAGAUGCAAUCUCCAAGGUAUGAAACACCUAGCAACUAGGGUUCUGCACCUUGAUCCCCAUGAUGGGCUCUCCAUAUUGACUGUAGCAUUGCCAUUCCUAGGGCUUGGUCCCCAUGAUGGGAUCUCCACAUUGACUGUAACAUUUCCAUUCCUAAGGCUUGAUCCUCAAGCAAGCCCUAGCUCCUUGUUAGGUAUAAACAGUCUCAAACCUUUCAAUCUAUGAUGAUGUUAGUGCACCAAAUGUUAUUAAUGCACAUGAAUGCAAAUGAAUCUCAAACCAAAAGGUUAGAUGAAAAUGAAAAGGGGAGGAAAAUUUGGGGGUAUGACAACUUUAAAUGUGUUUUAAAUAUGUAUUAUUUUAUGUUUCGUUUUUAUUUAUUAAAUAUGCAUUACUUGUCUUGAUUAUUGUUUUGUAUUUAUAUUUCAGAAAGAAUGUGAGGAAAGUUUUUGAUCGAGAAAUCAUAAGAAAGUAGAGUCACACCUUUCUAUAUUACUUUAUUUGGAAAUGGACGGUUUCACAAAGGUAGCCACGGUUAAAAAUAUUAUAGUUGACUCAAGUUUUAUAUUAGCAAUGCUUGAGCGAUGGAUGCCUAAAAACCCAUACAUUUCAUUUUCCAACAAGUGAAUAUAUUAUCAUGUUGGAAGAUGUUAGUAUGCUUUUGGAUCUACGCGUUAACAAUUAAGCUAUAAAUGGAUCUACUGAAAUUAGUAAAGAUGUUUGUACUAGUUUUUUGGAUUGUGAACCACCACAAAAUCAAAUAAAAGGUAGAACGGUAAAGAUCACAUGGCUGAAAAAGUAUUAAAAUAGAAUGAAUUAUCAUUAAUGAUCGAAAAGUCCAGUAAUAGUAUACAUAGUAUGUGGAUACCAUUCGUCCAAGAUUUUAGAAAUAUCGUCAAUAUAGUUGGAGGUCAACUGUUUUAGCAUUCCUAUUUUGGGAGAUGUGUAAUGUUUCGACGCUGAUGUUGAAGGAAUGGGAGGAUGUGUUGUUUUACUCCAAGAUUUAGGGUUACCCGAAUGCCAUUUAUAACACCAACCAGUCCAAUGAUACUAAUUCAUCCUUAUGCUUUAAGAUAGGGUGUCACCAAGAAGAAAUACACUAAUAAUCCCCGUCAUUAACUUGUUGAUUACUAGUAUAUGAUAAAUCACAUGUAGCCAGACAAUAUAAUAUAUCUACCUUUGCUAUUUCUCUGUAAAUUAUUCAAUUUAA